GCCAGUGUGACGUAGUGGUUUAAGUGUUGGACUACGACUCUGGAGACCAGGUUUCAAAUCCCGGCUUGGCCA